rnacentral:rRNA from 1 species
GACGAACGCUGGCGGCGUGCCUAAUACAUGCAAGUUGAGCGAUGAAGCUUGGUGCUUGCACCAAUUUGAAGAGCAGCGAACGGGUGAGUAACGCGUGGGGAAUCUGCCUUUGAGCGGGGGACAACAUUUGGAAACGACUGCUAAUACCGCAUAAUAACUUUAAACAUAAGUUUUAAGUUUGAAAGAUGCAAUUGCAUCACUCAAAGAUGAUCCCGCGUUGUAUUAGCUAGUUGGUGAGGUAAAGGCUCACCAAGGCGAUGAUACAUAGCCGACCUGAGAGGGUGGUCGGCCAAAUUGGGACGGAGACACGGCCCAAACGCCUACGGGAGGGAGCAGUAGGGAAUCGUCGGCAAUGGACGAAAGUCUGACCGAGAAACGCCGCGGGAGUGAAGAAGGUUUUCGGAUCGGAAAACUCUGUUGGUAGAGAAGAAAGUGGGUGAGAGUGGAAAGCUCAUCAAGUGACGGUAACUACCCAGAAAGGGACGGCUAACUACGUG